UUCAGCCUUGAAGGUGCCUAAGGACCUUGCUCGGCUGUGGUUGAAAACCUUCUGCAGGCCAAGCAAAUGGGAGCUGCAGCAGGGAGAUUAGGCAGCCUGCGGGCCAUGGGAUCGGCUGCAACAGGGAACCUGGGGUCUGCUCCUGGGAACACCUUCCUGGGCUGCCCCCACCCGGCCGAUUGGACCCAGGUGGCGGCUCUAACCCGUCCUGCCCACCGUGCGGGCCUGAGGGGCGUGAACAGGAUCCAGGUCCAUGGCCGCUGACUGUGUUCUUCCCGUGCAUUCCUUGCCACCAACCCUCCCAGCCCAGACCCCUCCACCUGAGUUCUCAGCCCUAAGGGCCCGUGUGUCUCUGCCCCCAGAGCCAGGCACGGGGCCAGCACCCAGAGUUUGUGGCCCUCUUUGGCUACUGAUUCAUCUGUCUGGGACUGGGUUCUGGUCAAGGGGACUUCCUGAGAAGCCAGUGGCACUUAGCUUCCAGCUUCGGGGUCCCUCAGGUAGGAAUUCAGGCCUUGCCAGGGCACCAAGGGACCCACUGUGGGACCAGCGACCUGGCUGCCUGCACAGGUGGCAGAAGAUUUCAGUAGAAACAGCACCAAGCAGUGCCAGGACCCCUGGGCCAGGUCAGGAUUAGGAAAGCAAAUUGGACCUGUUAGAAAACUCCGGGGCCAGCAGGAAAGCGGGGAGCCUGCCCUGUGUCAGCCAAAUGGUUAAAGGAGAAGAGUAGAAUCCAGGGGAAAUCAAGCCGUCAAGUCGUUAAUUGACUUUGCCUCAAUCAGCCUGAUGCAUAUUCAUGAGGCGCCAGCCCUCCCCAGGCCUGUGCAGCAGUGUGCUCCCCUCUGUCUGAGCUGCUGUGACAUGGUGGCUCCCGCCUCCGCCUGCCUGCAGUCAGCCUUGAUUGGCCCAGCCGCUCUCUUGAAAAUGCCAUAGCAACCCCUGGCUGGUUGCCUAGCAAUUCCUCCCUUUUCCCUUUUCCUCCCCUAAAGCCCAAGCCAGUAAUCCACAGGCUUCUGGUGGAACAUGUCUCUGUGCCAUGGCAAGUGCCUGUGUGUGUGUGUGUGUGUGUGUGCAUGCAUGUGCGUGAGAGGACAGAUCCAGAAGGGA
rnacentral:lncRNA from 1 species